UACAACCAUUACGCCAGCAUCCUAGCCGAAGCGCGGACCUCAGUCCCGGCUGGCCGUAUUACACCCUGGGCUAUAACACCUCCACCGAAGUGGAGGCCACAUUCCCAGAGCCUUUAUCCGGCCGCCGAAACUGAUGCUGGCCUGUCCAAACUGAGUAAACCGGUCAGAAGACCGGCCGAACAGUUUAAACAAGUCUGAUUGCAAGCGCUUCCCUUUCAACAAUUUCACGUGCUUUUUAACUCUCUUUCCAAAGUGCUUUUCAUCUUUCGAUCACUCUACUUGUGCGCUAUCGGUCUCUCGCCAAUAUUUAGCUUUAGAAGAAAUUUACCUCCCAUUUAGAGCUGCAUUCCCAAACAACUCGACUCGUCGAAGGAGAUUUACAUAGGGUGCCAUUUCCUGUCACAUACGGGAUUCUCACCCUCUAUGACGUCCUGUUCCAAGGAACUUAGACAGGCGGCUUCCCCAAAUCAUCCUCUACAAAUUACAAUGCGAACCCGAAGGCUAGCUUUCAAAUUUGAGCUGUUGCCGCUUCACUCGCCGUUACUAGGGCAAUCCCUGU
rnacentral:rRNA from 1 species